UUGACUCUAGUCCGACUU
rnacentral:snRNA from 1 species